rnacentral:rRNA from 1 species
UACGAAGGGGGCUAGCGUUGCUCGGAAUCACUGGGCGUAAAGGGUGCGUAGGCGGGUCUUUAAGUCAGGGGUGAAAUCCUGGAGCUCAACUCCAGAACUGCCUUUGAUACUGAAGAUCUUGAGUUCGGGAGAGGUGAGUGGAACUGCGAGUGUAGAGGUGAAAUUCGUAGAUAUUCGCAAGAACACCAGUGGCGAAGGCGGCUCACUGGCCCGAUACUGACCGCUGAGGCACGAAAGCGUGGGGAGCAAACAGG